rnacentral:rRNA from 1 species
GUUGUAUGGUUAAGUGACUAAGCGUACACGGUGGAUGCCUGGGCAGUCAGAGGCGAUGAAGGACGUACUAACUUGCGAUAAGCGCAGAUAAGGCAGUAAGAGCCGUUUGAGUCUGCGAUUUCCGAAUGGGGAAACCCAACUGCAUAAGCAGUUACUGUUAACUGAAUACAUAGGUUAACAGAGCAAACCGGGGGAACUGAAACAUCUAAGUACCCCGAGGAGAAGAAAUCAACCGAGAUUCCGGUAGUAGCGGCGAGCGAACCUGGAUUAGCCCUUAAGCACUCGGUGAAGUAGGUGAACAAGCUGGAAAGCUUGGCGAUACAGGGUGAUAGCCCCGUAACCGACGCUUCAUCGAGCGUGAAAUCGAGUAGGGCGGGACACGUGAUAUCCUGUCUGAAUAUGGGGGGACCAUCCUCCAAGGCUAAAUACUCCUGACUGACCGAUAGUGAACCAGUACCGUGAGGGAAAGGCGAAAAGAACCCCUGUGAGGGGAGUGAAAUAGAACCUGAAACCGUGUACGUACAAGCAGUAGGAGCACCUUCGUGGUGUGACUGCGUACCUUUUGUAUAAUGGGUCAGCGACUUAUAUUCAGUGGCAAGGUUAACCGUAUAGGGGAGCCGUAGCGAAAGCGAGUCUUAACUGGGCGCUCAGUCUCUGGAUAUAGACCCGAAACCGGGUGAUCUAGCCAUGGGCAGGUUGAAGGUUGAGUAACAUCAACUGGAGGACCGAACCGACUAAUGUUGAAAAAUUAGCGGAUGACUUGUGGCUAGGGGUGAAAGGCCAAUCAAACUCGGAGAUAGCUGGUUCUCCCCGAAAGCUAUUUAGGUAGCGCCUCGGACGAAUACUACUGGGGGUAGAGCACUGUUAAGGCUAGGGGGUCAUCCCGACUUACCAACCCUUUGCAAACUCCGAAUACCAGUAAGUACUAUCCGGGAGACACACGGCGGGUGCUAACGUCCGUCGUGGAGAGGGAAACAACCCAGACCGCCAGCUAAGGUCCCAAAGUAUUGCUAAGUGGGAAACGAUGUGGGAAGGCUCAGACAGCUAGGAUGUUGGCUUAGAAGCAGCCAUCAUUUAAAGAAAGCGUAAUAGCUCACUAGUCGAGUCGGCCUGCGCGGAAGAUGUAACGGGGCUAAGCAAUACACCGAAGCUGCGGCAAUAUCUUUUAGAUAUUGGGUAGGGGAGCGUUCUGUAAGCCGUUGAAGGUGAAUCGUAAGGUUUGCUGGAGGUAUCAGAAGUGCGAAUGCUGACAUGAGUAACGACAAAGGGGGUGAAAAACCUCCUCGCCGGAAGACCAAGGGUUCCUGUCCAACGUUAAUCGGGGCAGGGUGAGUCGACCCCUAAGGUGAGGCCGAAAGGCGUAAUCGAUGGGAAACGGGUUAAUAUUCCCGUACUUCUGACUAUUGCGAUGGGGGGACGGAGAAGGCUAGGUGGGCCAGGCGACGGUUGUCCUGGUUCAAGUGCGUAGGCUUGAGAGUUAGGUAAAUCCGGCUCUCUCUAAGGCUGAGACACGACGUCGAGCUGCUACGGCAGUGAAGUCAUUGAUGCCAUGCUUCCAGGAAAAGCCUCUAAGCUUCAGAUAGUCAGGAAUCGUACCCCAAACCGACACAGGUGGUCGGGUAGAGAAUACCAAGGCGCUUGAGAGAACUCGGGUGAAGGAACUAGGCAAAAUGGUACCGUAACUUCGGGAGAAGGUACGCUCUUGAUGGUGAAGUCCCUCGCGGAUGGAGCUGACGAGAGUCGCAGAUACCAGGUGGCUGCAACUGUUUAUUAAAAACACAGCACUGUGCAAAAUCGCAAGAUGACGUAUACGGUGUGACGCCUGCCCGGUGCCGGAAGGUUAAUUGAUGGGGUUAGCGCAAGCGAAGCUCUUGAUCGAAGCCCCGGUAAACGGCGGCCGUAACUAUAACGGUCCUAAGGUAGCGAAAUUCCUUGUCGGGUAAGUUCCGACCUGCACGAAUGGCGUAAUGAUGGCCACGCUGUCUCCACCCGAGACUCAGUGAAAUUGAAAUCGCUGUGAAGAUGCAGUGUACCCGCGGCUAGACGGAAAGACCCCGUGAACCUUUACUACAGCUUGGCACUGAACAUUGAACCUACAUGUGUAGGAUAGGUGGGAGGCUAUGAAGACGUGACGCUAGUUGCGUUGGAGCCGUCCUUGAAAUACCACCCUUGUAUGUUUGAUGUUCUAACUUAGACCCAUUAUCUGGGUUGAGGACAGUGCCUGGUGGGUAGUUUGACUGGGGCGGUCUCCUCCCAAAGAGUAACGGAGGAGCACGAAGGUGGGCUAAUCACGGUUGGACAUCGUGAGGUUAGUGCAAUGGCAUAAGCCCGCUUAACUGCGAGAAUGACGGUUCGAGCAGGUGCGAAAGCAGGUCAUAGUGAUCCGGUGGUUCUGUAUGGAAGGGCCAUCGCUCAACGGAUAAAAGGUACUCCGGGGAUAACAGGCUGAUACCGCCCAAGAGUUCAUAUCGACGGCGGUGUUUGGCACCUCGAUGUCGGCUCAUCACAUCCUGGGGCUGAAGUCGGUCCCAAGGGUAUGGCUGUUCGCCAUUUAAAGUGGUACGCGAGCUGGGUUUAGAACGUCGUGAGACAGUUCGGUCCCUAUCUGCCGUGGGCGUUGGAAGAUUGAAGGGGGCUGCUCCUAGUACGAGAGGACCGGAGUGGACGAACCUCUGGUGUUCGGGUUGUGUCGCCAGACGCAUUGCCCGGUAGCUAAGUUCGGAAUUGAUAAGCGCUGAAAGCAUCUAAGCGCGAAGCGAGCCCUGAGAUGAGUCUUCCCUGA